rnacentral:rRNA from 1 species
AAGUCGUAACAAGGUCUCCGUUGGUGAACCAGCGGAGGGAUCAUUACCGAGUUUUCAACUCCCAAACCCCUGUGAACAUACCAUUUUGUUGCCUCGGCGGUGCCUGUUCCGACAGCCCGCCAGAGGACCCCAAACCCAAAUUUCCUUGAGUGAGUCUUCUGAGUAACCGAUUAAAUUAAUCAAAACUUUCAACAACGGAUCUCUUGGUUCUGGCAUCGAUGAAGAACGCAGCGAAAUGCGAUAAGUAAUGUGAAUUGCAGAAUUCAGUGAAUCAUCGAAUCUUUGAACGCACAUUGCGCCCGCCAGUAUUCUGGCGGGCAUGCCUGUUCGAGCGUCAUUUCAACCCUCAGGCCCCGCCUGGCGUUGGGGAUCGGCGCGGCGCGGCUCCCCGGAGCGGCGCUGCCGGCCCCGAAAUUGAGUGGCGGUCUCGCCGUAGUCCUCUGCGUAGUAGCUAACACCUCGCACUGGAACGCGGCGCGGCCAAGCCGUAAAACACCCCACUUCUGAAAGUUGACCUCGGAUCAGGUAGGAAUACCCGCUGAACUUAA